UGCACAUCUAGGGGAUGGUUGCAUAAGAUGGAUUAGGUCAUGAUGUGAUUGCAAUGUGUAAAGCUGGUAUCUUUUCAUCGUGGAAACAACUGAUAUACUCCCUGAUUAAGUCAGAAUUGAAAAUAAGAUUAAGGGAGAACAUUCUCUGCAGAGAUAAACUUCUAUUUGUUGCUAUAAAAGAUGGACAAGAUGUGCUAGUGAGGCAAGGAAAAGGUUUUGGCUGGAAGAAAGACAGGGAUGAAAUUCACUCUGAAUUGUUUUUGAUUCUAAAAGUCAUCUCACAGUUAUAAUUUCACCAACUUCAGUGGCAAUUAAAAGAAGAAAAAACAAGAAAAUCAAGACUUGCUCAGAUAACCAUGAAAACUUAGACAUUUACCAUUUAAAAUAUGGGAAAUUAAAUACCAGCAACACAGACUUUUAGAAUAUUAUCCAGUGAGAGGUUGCCGGGGUAUCAUCCUUAGACUGAGCCUAAGGUGUAGUUUCUAUUAUUCUGUUUUCUAUUGUUCUAUUUUAUAUUGUUCUGUUGUUCUUGAGAUCUUCCUCAUAUCAAGAUGCUUACCAAAUCAAUUAUAUAAUUCAUCUUUUCUUCUACGAUAUUACAUUUGGAUAUAUCCAUGUCCAAGCAAGAUUUUGGUAUAGAAGGUUUACAGAGUCUUCUUCCAAUAUUAUUAUUUUUGGUGAGAUGUGGUAGAUGGUAAAUAAAUGUUCUCUCUGUAAUAUUUUUUUGCUAAUUUUGUUAAAUCCAUGGCUAGUAUUAAAACACAGAAUAGUUUACUGUUGCUAGGAGGAGCAAAUUUUUGCAGUUUCUUAAAAAAAUGAAAUGUUCAUUCUAUAAAUAUUUAAUGUUUUAUAUAUUUAAGACUUGCAUUGAGAAGAAUAUUCAGAAAGGGGACACUUUGGCUACAUGAAUGAUAUACUCCUAGACAUAAAAUGUAAAAAUUCUACUAAUUUUCUACUAAAUUUCCUUUGAUAUUGACUGCCAGCAUCAGUAAAAUGAUGCACAAUUAGUGUUGGGUUUUAUCGGUAUUGACCUCUUUGACAAUUCAGCAUUUCAAUUUGCUUAAAAAAUAAUUGCUGUGGGAUUCCUUAAGGCUUUAUCUUUAGAUAACCAUAAAUCCUUUUUCCUAGGUUGCUUGGUAACUUUUUGUCCUCAGCUAGCUUUUGUAUUUCCAUGGAAGAGGGUCAAAUAUUUUUAGUCACCACAUCUCUCACAUUUUAUUCCUUCUAAUCUUUCAUGAAUUGCUCCUUAAUGAAAUUAAGGACUGGACUUAAUGAAAGUCCAGUAAGGGUUCAGAAUACAGCUAAUAGACAUUAUGCAUUUAGCAUAAAUUCCCUGUAUUUAAUAGUGAAGUCCUGCAAAGACAGAUUAUACCCCUUAUAACUUUUUUUAAUUAGCUUGCAUAUUUAGAAAAAAAAAAUAAACAUAGGGAGAAAAAAGAGAGCUCCUUUCUGAUGACUGAUUUUCCUGCUAUAGUUUAUUUUUGCUAGAUAAAGCAAAACUACAAAUCACUUAUUUAUGUCAUAAUAUGCAACACUCCAAUAUAGGAAUAUGUUUUGGUUAUAUAUUCUUAAACUUUCUCUAUUAAUUAACCCAAAAAUUAUUUUCACAAGUUGGUUCACAAAUGCAUACUAAAACGAUAUCUGAAAGACAAUGACUGUGAGCGUUCUUUCUAGAGGCCUUAUCUUUUACUCUUUUGUAGGGAAAAAAUAAAUUAGUAUUAAUUUUAAUAAAAAAUAGAGCAUAUAUAUAUAUGCUAAUUUCCCUAAAAUCCAAUCCUGUGUCAGUUCUAAAGUGAAAGCAACAAUUAAAAAUAUAAAUACAGUAGAAGAAAAUGAGAUGCUAAGAAGUAAAAUAAAUACCACUUAAGAAUGAUAGCAAAUGGACUUGG